CCUAGAGGGCGGGGCUGACGCUAGAGGAGACGGCCGGGGUCUUACUCCCACCCACGAAGCUUCCAAACCAGAUUCCGACAGCUCGGCAUUUUCCGUCAGUCUGGUCCCGUCUUCGGGCUCCCCACUUACCGCACGGAGCGCGGGGCUUGGGCUCCAGCAGCGGCUCAGGGCAGAGCACGGCCGAGGCAAGCUCCAGCCAGAAGAGGACUACUGAGAGCCAACGCAACGAGCGGAUGUGACAUGGGAGAUUCAACAAGAAUCCAAGGAAUCAUCUCAAAAUCUGAGUAUUUUAAUGGAAAAAGCAUCACUGGAAAGACUGGCUUCAUCUAGAGAACACAAUCUAGGACUGCAAUGAAAACAAAGAAGGACAAGAUGUCACAGGUUGAUAACUUGGAGCUCAUGUAAGCUAUAGGUCUGAGCGCCCUCUGUCAAGAGGUUGAAACUCAAAAGUCUGUCUGAAGAGUGAGCCCAAGUGCCCUCUCCC
rnacentral:lncRNA from 1 species